CCACCCUGGUAGCCGGAGCCCCUGCGGCCGUCCUCCGCCUCGUCCGCGCGGCGCCUGCACGCACGCCGGAGCCCGCUCCCCUGCGCUGCCGCAGUUCCCCCGUGUCGCAUUAUGCCGCAGCGGCAACUGUCGGUAACCUGGCCGAGGCCUAGGUGGGCGGCGUUGACGGACGAAUUCGAGGACGCGGCGUUGAUGGUAGAGGGAUUUGGCGGCGCACCUCUCGUCCAUGCUUGCCGAUGAGGAUUCCUGGUACCGACGCCGGUGAAGGUUGAUCAACGAGGAGAGUAAUAGAUACAUGUCUUUCUUUGAUGUGGUGGAGUCUUUCACGAUGGUGACUUGGAUGUGGUGAAGCAGCUCCUCAUAGACAACGCGAUGCUGUGAAGCAAAGUGCCAGAGAAGUUGUGCAUCCGUUUUUAACUACAGCCCAUGCAUGUAUACCGUCCAAUUGCUACACCCUGAUGUGGAGCUCGUUGUAUGUGUAGAGAUGGCACUCCAAAGCAUUAUAAGGACUCCAGCUUGCAGCAUCUAUCCAUUUUCAGUUUCCUCGGGUAAAAUCCUUUAAUACUCUUCUCCCUAAUUCAGAAAUUUAGUUUACAAUGUUGCAGGCUGGUUUCAUCUGACAUUCUCAAGGCUCUGCACAUGCAAUAUUAUGAAGUUUCUAUCCUUUCCCUAUGCAAUGCAUUACUACAUAUAUUUUGAAUUGUGUAGGUAACUGUUU